ACGCUCGACACCUACGGGGGGCAGCAGUAGGGAAUCUUCCACAAUGGACGCAAGUCUGAUGGAGCAACGCCGCGUGAGUGAAGAAGGUUUUCGGAUCGUAAAGCUCUGUUGUUGGUGAAGAAGGAUAGAGGUAGUAACUGGCCUUUAUUUGACGGUAAUCAACCAGAAAGUCACGGCUAACUACGUGCAAGCAGCCGCGGUAAUCUGAGCGGGCUGGCAAGGC
rnacentral:rRNA from 1 species